UACGUAGGGGGCUAGCGUUGUCCGGAAUCAUUGGGCGUAAAGAGCUCGUAGGCGGCUCGGUAAGUCAGGUGUGAAACCUCCAGGCUCAACCUGGAGACGCCACCUGAUACUGCCGUGGCUAGAGUCCGGUAGAGGAGCGUAGAAUUCCUGGUGUAGCGGUGAAAUGCGCAGAUAUCAGGAGGAAUACCAGCGGCGAAGGCGGCGCUCUGGGCCGGUACUGACGCUGAGGAGCGAAAGCGUGGGGAGCAAACAGG
rnacentral:rRNA from 1 species